rnacentral:rRNA from 1 species
AAAUUGAAGAGUUUGAUCAUGGCUCAGAUUGAACGCUGGCGGCAGGCCUAACACAUGCAAGUCGAACGGUAACAGGAAGCAGCUUGCUGCUUCGCUGACGAGUGGCGGACGGGUGAGUAAUGUCUGGGAAACUGCCUGAUGGAGGGGGAUAACUACUGGAAACGGUGGCUAAUACCGCAUAACGUCGCAAGACCAAAGAGGGGGACCUUCGGGCCUCUUGCCAUCAGAUGUGCCCAGAUGGGAUUAGCUAGUUGGUGAGGUAACGGCUCACCAAGGCGACGAUCCCUAGCUGGUCUGAGAGGAUGACCAGCCACACUGGAACUGAGACACGGUCCAGACUCCUACGGGAGGCAGCAGUGGGGAAUAUUGCACAAUGGGCGCAAGCCUGAUGCAGCCAUGCCGCGUGUAUGAAGAAGGCCUUCGGGUUGUAAAGUACUUUCAGCGGGGAGGAAGGUGUUGUGGUUAAUAACCACAGCAAUUGACGUUACCCGCAGAAGAAGCACCGGCUAACUCCGUGCCAGCAGCCGCGGUAAUACGGAGGGUGCAAGCGUUAAUCGGAAUUACUGGGCGUAAAGCGCACGCAGGCGGUCUGUCAAGUCGGAUGUGAAAUCCCCGGGCUCAACCUGGGAACUGCAUUCGAAACUGGCAGGCUUGAGUCUUGUAGAGGGGGUAGAAUUCCAGGUGUAGCGGUGAAAUGCGUAGAGAUCUGGAGGAAUACCGGUGGCGAAGGCGGCCCCCUGGACAAAGACUGACGCUCAGGUGCGAAAGCGUGGGGAGCAAACAGGAUUAGAUACCCUGGUAGUCCACGCCGUAAACGAUGUCUACUUGGAGGUUGUGCCCUUGAGGCGUGGCUUCCGGAGCUAACGCGUUAAGUAGACCGCCUGGGGAGUACGGCCGCAAGGUUAAAACUCAAAUGAAUUGACGGGGGCCCGCACAAGCGGUGGAGCAUGUGGUUUAAUUCGAUGCAACGCGAAGAACCUUACCUGGUCUUGACAUCCACAGAACUUUCCAGAGAUGGAUUGGUGCCUUCGGGAACUGUGAGACAGGUGCUGCAUGGCUGUCGUCAGCUCGUGUUGUGAAAUGUUGGGUUAAGUCCCGCAACGAGCGCAACCCUUAUCCUUUGUUGCCAGCGAUUAGGUCGGGAACUCAAAGGAGACUGCCAGUGAUAAACUGGAGGAAGGUGGGGAUGACGUCAAGUCAUCAUGGCCCUUACGACCAGGGCUACACACGUGCUACAAUGGCGCAUACAAAGAGAAGCGACCUCGCGAGAGCAAGCGGACCUCAUAAAGUGCGUCGUAGUCCGGAUUGGAGUCUGCAACUCGACUCCAUGAAGUCGGAAUCGCUAGUAAUCGUGGAUCAGAAUGCCACGGUGAAUACGUUCCCGGGCCUUGUACACACCGCCCGUCACACCAUGGGAGUGGGUUGCAAAAGAAGUAGGUAGCUUAACCUUCGGGAGGGCGCUUACCACUUUGUGAUUCAUGACUGGGGUGAAGUCGUAACAAGGUAACCGUAGGGGAACCUGCGGUUGGAUCACCUCCUUA